AGAAAAUCGUCAAUUUCUUUAUCUUCUCUACUCAAAGAAAAGUCGGAUUCACCAGCGGUAGGACCGGCAAAAGCAACAGCCUCCAGUUUAUUAAUAUUUUCAAUAUCAUCAACUAUGCUAUUGUUUUGAGGUGAGGUAGAAUACAUAUCUGAUCCUGCGCUAUUUCCACCGUUAGGAUAUCUAUUAUAUGUCUGAGAGCUGGGUCUAAUAGAGAAUCUAUGGGUAUAGCCACUAGCUCUUGUUCCGCCGACACCGGCUGCCAAGGCUGCACUGCUAAAUGUAGCGUUGGAGGCAUUGUUGUACAACAGACGAGUAGAGGAAUCGGUGGGAUUUGUGAAAGAAGAAGUACUGGUGUCUCUCGAAGCGUACAUAGAACCAAUCUCAUUCACGUUACCAUCCGAAGGGGUUUUGCGAUUUAAAUCGCCACGUACAUUAUACAUGAUAAAUCCAACGAAACCAGUUAAAUCCCAAGAAAGAAGAACAAAAAUGAAUGAAAAGAAAGCUUAGUUAAAGAAGAUUUCGCGCUUAGACACGUAACCACAAAAAGUCUUCGCUGAGUUGUGACAGCAAAUAGUCUUCAAAAUACUUCCAGCAAGUAAAAAAAAAAAAAAAACGUUAAACAAAAAACAAAAAGAAUCUAAAGGAAAAAGAUGAUGAGCCUCAAUCUCGAGAACGAAAGCUAAUUCACUUGAAAAUUUUCCUUUUUCUUGUAAAGUGCUCGAAAGCACUUUUCGCGUAAACG